AUUGAACGCUGGCGGCAUGCCUUACACAUGCAAGUCGAACGGCAGCGCGGGAGCAAUCCUGGCGGCGAGUGGCGAACGGGUGAGUAAUACAUCGGAACGUGCCCAAUCGUGGGGGAUAACGCAGCGAAAGCUGUGCUAAUACCGCAUACGAUCUACGGAUGAAAGCAGGGGAUCGCAAGACCUUGCGCGAAUGGAGCGGCCGAUGGCAGAUUAGGUAGUUGGUGAGGUAAAGGCUCACCAAGCCUUCGAUCUGUAGCUGGUCUGAGAGGACGACCAGCCACACUGGGACUGAGACACGGCCCAGACUCCUACGGGAGGCAGCAGUGGGGAAUUUUGGACAAUGGGCGAAAGCCUGAUCCAGCCAUGCCGCGUACAGGAUGAAGGCCUUCGGGUUGUAAACUGCUUUUGUACGGAACGAAACGGUCUUUUCUAAUAAAGAAGGCUAAUGACGGUACCGUAAGAAUAAGCACCGGCUAACUACGUG
rnacentral:rRNA from 1 species